rnacentral:rRNA from 1 species
CCUACGGGAGGCAGCAGUGGGGAAUAUUGGGCAAUGGGCGCAAGCCUGACCCAGCAACGCCGCGUGAAGGAAGAAGGCUUUCGGGUUGUAAACUUCUUUUGUCAGGGACGAAGCAAGUGACGGUACCUGACGAAUAAGCCACGGCUAACUACGUGCCAGCGGCCGCGGUAAUACGUAGGUGGCAAGCGUUAUCCGGAUUUACUGGGUGUAAAGGUCGUGUAGGCGGGGAAGCAAGUCAGAUGUGAAAACCACGGGCGCAACCUGUGGCCUGCAUUUGAAACUGUUUUUCUUGAGUGCUUGAGAGGCAAUCGGAAUUCCGUGUGUAGCGGUGAAAUGCGUAGAUAUACGGAGGAACACCAGUGGCGAAGGCGGAUUGCUGGACAGUAACUGACGCUGAGGCGCGAAAGCGUGGGGAGCAAACAGGAUUAGAUACCCCUGUAGUC